rfam:Pantoea sp. PSNIH2, complete genome.
AACUUCACCGUCACGCCGCGCCCGGUCUCAAAUCCCGCCUCUGCCAGCUAGUUGCCCUUAAGGUGCAGGCUGGGGCUUUGUGUGUAACGGGUGGGGAUUUUGGUUUUACGGUGGGUUUGGCAGAUGCCG